GGAGAGAUGGUCGAGUGGUUUAAGGCGUAGCACUGGAACUGCUAUGUAAGCGUUUGUUUACCGAGGGUUCGAAUCCCUCUCUUUCCG
rnacentral:tRNA from 2 species